rnacentral:rRNA from 1 species
AGUGAACGCUGGCGGUAUGCCUAACACAUGCAAGUCGAACGGCAGCACAGUAAGAGUUUGCCCUUACGGGUGGCGACUGGCGGACGGGUGAGGCAUACAUCGGAUUCUACUUUUUCGUGGGGGAUAACGGAGGACAACUUACGCUAAUACCGCAUACGAUCUACCGGUUAAAUCAGGAGUUCUUCGCAGUUUUCCUGUUUCUAUUAGCCGGUGUCGGAUUAGCUAGUUGGGUUGGUAAGGUCCCACCAAGGCGACGAUACGUAGCUGGCCUGAGAGGAUGAUCGGCCACACUGGAACUGGGACACGGUCCAGACUCCUACGGGAGGCAGCAGUGGGGAAUAUUCGGCAAUGGGCGCAAGCCUGAUGCAGCAAUGCCGCGUGAGUGAAGAAGGCCUUCGGGUUGUAAAGCUCUUUUGUUGGGAAAGAAAAGAAGCGGGAUAAAACCCCGCUGUUCUGACGGUACCCAAACAAUAAGCAACGGCUAACUUCGUG